rnacentral:rRNA from 1 species
UACAGAGGUCCCAAGCGUUGUUCGGAUUCACUGGGCGUAAAGGGUGCGUAGGCGGUCGGGUAAGUCUGACGUGAAAUCUCCAAGCUCAACUUGGAAAUGGCGUCGGAUACUAUUCGGCUGGAGGAAUGGAGGGGAGACUGGAAUUCUCGGUGUAGCAGUGAAAUGCGUAGAUAUCGAGAGGAACACCAGUGGCGAAGGCGAGUCUCUGGACAUUUCCUGACGCUGAGGCACGAAAGCCAGGGGAGCAAGCGGG